AUUUCUGCCCAUUGCCCUGAACGUCAAGAAAUUGAGAAGAGCGAAUGCGCUGGUAAACGGCGGGAUUAACUAUGACUCUCUCAAUGGGUAUCAUCGAGAUACGUCGAUACGCCCGCCGUGCUACGUAGCGAAAGGUAUUUUUUUCAACAGAAACUUUCCUUCUAUCCAUGACAAAAUGAUAAUUUGGGAAAUAUAUAUAAGGAA
rnacentral:rRNA from 1 species